GGUGCUGUGGCUCAGUGGGUAGAGCCUCUGCUUUGCAUGCAGAAGGUCCCAGGUUCAAUUCCUGGCAUCUUCA